rnacentral:rRNA from 1 species
AGAGUUUGAUCCUGGCUCAGGAUGAACGCUAGCGAUAGGCCUAACACAUGCAAGUCGAGGGGCAGCAUAGGGUAGCAAUACUUUGAUGGCGACCGGCGCACGGGUGAGUAACACGUAUGCAACCUACCUACAACAGGGGAAUAACCCGGAGAAAUUCGGACUAAUACCCCAUAAUACAGGGAUGCCGCAUGGCAAUAUUUGUUAAAGAUUUAUCGGUUGUAGAUGGGCAUGCGUUCCAUUAGAUAGUUGGUAAGGUAACGGCUUACCAAGUCAGCGAUGGAUAGGGGAACUGAGAGGUUUAUCCCCCACACUGGAACUGAGACACGGACCAGACUCCUACGGGAGGCAGCAGUGAGGAAUGUUGGUCAAUGGACGAGAGUCUGAACCAGCCAAAUCGCGUGAAGGAAGACUGCCUUAUGGGUUGUAAACUUCUUUUAUACAGGAAUAAAAAGAGGGAUGUAUCCCUUAUUGCAUGUACUGUAUGAAUAAGCAUCGGCUAACUCCGUGCCAGCAGCCGCGGUAAUACGGAGGAUGCGAGCGUUAUCCGGAUUUAUUGGGUUUAAAGGGUGCGCA